CAGGAUUAGAUACCCUGGUAGUCCACGCCCUAAACGAUGUCAACUAGCUGUUGGGGCCUUCGGGCCUUGGUAGCGCAGCUAACGCGUGAAGUUGACCGCCUGGGGAGUACGGUCGCAAGAUUAAAACUCAAAGGAAUUGACGGGGACCCGCACAAGCGGUGGAUGAUGUGGAUUAAUUCGAUGCAACGCGAAAAACCUUACCUACCCUUGACAUGUCUGGAAUGCCGAAGAGAUUUGGCAGUGCUCGCAAGAGAACCGGAACACAGGUGCUGCAUGGCUGUCGUCAGCUCGUGUCGUGAGAUGUUGGGUUAAGUCCCGCAACGAGCGCAACCCUUGUCAUUAGUUGCUACGAAAGGGCACUCUAAUGAGACUGCCGGUGACAAACCGGAGGAAGGUGGGGAUGACGUCAAGUCCUCAUGGCCCUUAUGGGUAGGGCUUCACACGUCAUACAAUGGUCGGGACAGAGGGUCGCCAACCCGCGAGGGGGAGCUAAUCCCAGAAACCCGAUCGUAGUCCGGAUCGCAGUCUGCAACUCGACUGCGUGAAGUCGGAAUCGCUAGUAAUCGCGGAUCAGCAUGUCGCGGUGAAUACGUUCCCGGGUCUUGUACACACCGCCCGUCACACCAUGGGAGUGGGUUUUACCAGAAGUAGUUAGCCUAACCGCAAGGAGGGCGAUUACCACGGUAGGAUUCAUGACUGGGGUGAAGUCGUAACAAGGUAACC
rnacentral:rRNA from 1 species